ensembl:snRNA U6 U6 spliceosomal RNA
GUGCUCGCUUCGGCAGAACAUACACUAAAAUUGAGAUGAUAGAAGAUUAGCAUGGCCCCUGUGCAAGGAUGACAUGCAGAUCCGUGAAGCACUCCAUAUUUUA